GACGAACGCUGGCGGCGUGCUUAACACAUGCAAGUCGAGCGGAAAGGCCUGCUUUCCCUUGUGGAUUGCGGGUACUCGAGUGGCGAACGGGUGAGUAACACGUGAGUGAUCUGCCCCCAACUUGGGUAUAAGCCUGGGAAACUGGGUCUAAUUCCCGAUAGGACCGCAGGGUGGUGCCUGAGGUGGCAAACGAUUGUCUAGUGGUUGGGGAUGAGCUCGCGGCCUAUCAGCUUGUUGGUGGGGUAAUGGCCUACCAAGGCGGGGACGGGUAGCCGGCCAGGGAUAGUGGACGUCCGAAUUGGGACUGAGACACGGCCCAGACUCCUCCGGGAGGAAGCAGUGGGGAAUAUUGCGCAAUGAGCGGUAGCCUGAUGCAGCGAGGCCGCGUGAGGGAUGCCGGCCUUCGGGUUGUAAACUCCUUUCGACCGCGAGGAAGCCACCUGGUUGGAAGGGUGGUGACGGUAGUGGUAGAAGAAGCACCGGCUAACUACGUG
rnacentral:rRNA from 1 species